UUAAAUUGAAGAGUUUGAUCAUGGCUCAGAUUGAACGCUGGCGGCAGGCCUAACACAUGCAAGUCGGACGGUAACACAGAGAGCUUGCUCUCGGGUGACGAGUGGCGGACGGGUGAGUAAUGUCUGGGAAACUGCCUGAUGGAGGGGGAUAACUACUGGAAACGGU
rnacentral:rRNA from 1 species